rnacentral:lncRNA from 1 species
CGGAGAAGGAGGGCGUGUAGCUCCUCAGGUUCAGGGAGCGGCGGCCGGCGGAGCACCAGGUGGGGGCGGCGGUGGUGGUGUUGGGACCCUUGGCCUGGGCGGCGCCGUCGGAGAAAGGCUUGUAGGAGGCCGCGUAGGAGGCGCUGUAGCACCGGAGGUUGAGCCCCGGGGUGGGGCCGGCGCCGGAGACGGUCCUCGUGCUGCCGCUCCGCUGCACGGCGGGCGCCGCCACGGAGGUGGUGCUCCUGGCCCGCUGCACCUUGGUGGGCACGUAGGAGGCGGCGUAGGAGGCGCUGUGGCACCGGAGGUCGUUGGCCGGCGCCGCGACGGUGCUCCUCUCGGCCAGCGACACCGACCUCUCCAUUGGCAUCUUGUCCCGCUCCGCCUACGUGUUCGCGCGGGUGUGGUCACUCUCGUGCGGGCCGAGCUCUGGCGUCAGGAACCGAUGGCUGGUGG